GACGAACGCUGGCGGCGUGCUUAACACAUGCAAGUCGAACGGAAAGGCCCUGCUUUUGUGGGGUGCUCGAGUGGCGAACGGGUGAGUAACACGUGAGUAACCUGCCCUUGACUUUGGGAUAACUUCAGGAAACUGGGGCUAAUACCGGAUAGGAGCUCCUGCUGCAUGGUGGGGGUUGGAAAGUUUCGGCGGUUGGGGAUGGACUCGCGGCUUAUCAGCUUGUUGGUGGGGUAGUGGCUUACCAGGGCUUUGACGGGUAGCCGGCCUGAGAGGGUGACCGGCCACAUUGGAACGGAGUAGGGGCCCGAACUCCGAGGGGGGGCAGCAGGGGGGAAAGUUUGACAAGGGGGGGAAGCCGGAGGCAGGAAGGCCGGGGGGGGGAGAACGGCUUUCGGGUGUGAAGCCGGUUUGCCUUGUGAGGAGGGGGGGGGACGGGAAAUGGGUAAAAAGGCCCGGGUAAAUACGUG
rnacentral:rRNA from 1 species